rnacentral:lncRNA from 1 species
UUACUUAUAGUUUAUGACGUCAGGAAUAGAACGCAGUCAAACGGAGAAAGAGAGAGAAAGAAUAGGUAAAAAUAAAAUAAAAUAAAACGUUUCGAAAGAUUUCUAUUUUAUUCGGCAAACAGAAUGAGUUGAAUUCUAUCAGUUGAUGUUGAGAAAAAAAAACUUGAUUUUAAACGUUAUUAUUUUCUAUAACAGGGUGGGAAAUUUUGUCGGAAACAAAGUUUGGAAAUUGUACGAUUUAGAACUUCGUGAAAUCCCCCGCAGAAGCGCGAAUGUAAGAAACAAAUGAACAAUGGAAGGAUGAAGAAACUUGUGAAUAUUCCAGUAUUUACUCCUGUAAAAUAAAUAUUCGUUCAAAUAAAAUAGAAAAAAAAAGUACAAUAAAUUACUGAAGUAAAAAGCUUAACAGAAAACACUCAAAAAUAUUCUUCAAAAUAUAUUAAUGAAAGAAAAUUGAAGAUGAUUAAUAUGGCAGCCUGGAUAAAGAGUGAUCAGCAUAUGAGCGCUUUAAUCAAGUUGUUGAAACUGGUGUUUGAAUCAUGUAAAAGGUUUUUAUACAGGACCAGUAAGAAACUGUAUUGUUACAGAUACACGAUACCCGCUCUGAGGAUUUUGAAAA